ACCGAGUUAACUUUGCUAUUAAUAAAUAACUUUGAGGUCCGUACACACAUGGCUACGCAACCCACUACUUUCAGAAGCUGAAAGUUCGAACUUUGCAUUUAUCAAGCUGCACGCCGCCGCCGCCACUUAUUUUUCGCUCCCGAUUCACCCCUUCCAGAGACUCAUUUACUUACAGACGAGACUUCCGCUUCGUUGCCGGAAAACUACUCGCUAAACUCGCACACUUGCGCGAAUACCGUUACACAUGCAUAUGCAUACCAUACGUGCUCGGGGAUAGAGUCGCGCGAUAGUUUUAUUCGCGAGUUAUACCUGUUUACGUGUAUAUGCACGCACUGCAGGGCAUAUAAGGAUUUACAACACUUCCUUGAAGAAAUAUUACGACGGGCAGAUACAUUCAUUCGCCUUAUACUGUUCGGAGAAAUACGGACGGUGCAGGAGGACCACUGGCGUUGAAUCGCGUUACGUCAGCGGUCCCAUCGGGUUUUGGUUUUGUCUGAAACGGAUGGACGAGGCCUUCGCAUAGUGCGGACGUUUCAUUUCGUAGAACGUUAUAUCCUUUGACACGAGCGCACUCGUUCAUUCAUCGAUUCGUUCGCCCCUUCUCUUACUCCCCCAACCGCAACUUCUACAGGGACCAGACAUCACUGACACUUCCCGGUGCCAUAGCGCGUGUGCAGCUCAGGAUCCAUACACACGGAUCGCAUAAUGCGAUAACAGCAAAAACUUGGAACGGCCGAACGAAUUGCAUGUGCGUGGAACAGCUGUAGCUAUACGAGCGUGGCAGCGCUUGGGAACUUGUGUCCAAACGAAAACUAUUUUGGCCGAAGGAUCUUACGACGUCUCAUUGUCGGUCGAGUAUUAUUGAAUGAAUACUGUGUCCACAACUGUAUAUCAUAAAGUGAAUUUGUUGUAAUGGUAUGGAUAUAGAUAUAUGUAUAUAGCUAUGUCGGUAUAUCUUACAGGUAUAUAUGCGGACAAUGGUAGACAUUCUCGAUAAGGCAACAAUAUGGCUAUGAUAAGUGAUAAUCCUACGGCGUAUUUGUACGACGAUAAAUCAGAGUAAACAUACGACCUUGAACGUGGAAGUACCUACAUUGCCCAUGAUUCUCUUCUGGUUGCUAUCAAUCAUUCCUUCCACUAUCGGAAGAAUGACAUGGCGAAGGAAAAUAAAUGAUCUUCUGCAUAAUCUGCAAUCAUGUGUAUUAUAUGUUGCUGAGUAAUAAAAUUAUGGUCUUAAAAAUGCAA